AUCAAAUUCAAAACAACUCAAAGAAAUUUCAAACAAACAAUAAAAUUCUUAAAAAAAUAUUAGAAUGAUCACAAAUUUUACUCAAAUAUAUGUCAAUUCAACCUUAAUUUAAUUCUAGUUAAAACCCUAUUGAAUUUCACUCAACUUUAGACCAAACCUAAUUAAAUCUUAAACCCUAAUAAUUCCUAAAUCCUAAGUCAAAUCCUAAACAAAUCUUAAAUUAAACCCUAUUCCAAACUCUAAACCCUAAACCAAAUCCUAAAUCUAACCCUAAACCAAACCCUAAUCCAAUCCAAAAUCCUAAACCAAACCUUAAAUCAAAUCCUAAUCAAAUCCUAAUCCAAAUCCUAAAUCAAAUCCUAACCAAAUUCUAAACCCUAAUCCAAACCCUAAUUCAAAC
rnacentral:lncRNA from 1 species